rnacentral:rRNA from 1 species
CAGUCGCCGCGGGAAUACGGAGGGUGCAAGCGUUAAUCGGAAUUACUGGGCGUAAAGCGCACGCAGGCGGUCUGACAAGUCAGAUGUGAAAUCCCCGGGCUUAACCUGGGAACUGCAUUUGAAACUGUCAGGCUGGAGUCUUGUAGAGGGGGGUAGAAUUCCAGGUGUAGCGGUGAAAUGCGUAGAGAUCUGGAGGAAUACCGGUGGCGAAGGCGGCCCCCUGGACAAAGACUGACGCUCAGGUGCGAAAGCGUGGGGAGCAAACAGGAUUAGAUACCCGUGUAGUCCCUGUCUCUUAUAA